rnacentral:rRNA from 1 species
CCCUUAGAUGUUCUGGGCCGCACACGCGCUACACUGAAGGAGGCAGCGUGUACUCCUGGAUCGAAAGAUUUGGGUAACCCGCGAAUCUCCUUCGUGCUAGGGAUUGAGGUUUGCAAUUAUCCUUCAUGAACGAGGAAUUCCCAGUAAGUGCAAGUCAUAAGCUUGCGCUGACUACGUCCCUGCCCUUUGUACACACCGCCCGUCGCUACUACCGAUUGAACGAUUUAGUGAGGACUUCGGACUGGGACCGAUGCGGCUUUCGGGCUGCGUCGGUAUUCUGGAAAGAUGUCCAAACUGUAUCAUUUAGAGGAAGUAAAAGUCGUANCA